GAAAUGCGAUAAGUAAUGUGAAUUGCAGAAUUCAGUGAAUCAUCGAAUCUUUGAACGCACAUUGCGCCCGCCAGUAUUCUGGCGGGCAUGCCUGUCCGAGCGUCAUUUCAACCAUCAAGCCCCCGGGCUUGUGUUGGGGACCUGCGGCUGCCCGCAGGCCCUGAAAACCAGUGGCCGGCUCGCUGUCACACCGAGCGUAGUAGCAAUCACCUCGCUCAGGGCGUGCUGCGGGUUCCGGCCGUUAAACAGCCUUACAAAACCCAAGGUUGACCUCGGAUCAGGUAGGAAGACCCGCUGAACUUAAGC
rnacentral:misc_RNA from 1 species